GACGAACGCUGGCGGCGUGCUUAACACAUGCAAGUCGAACGAAGUGGCGAACGGGUGAGUAACGCGUAAUCAACCUGCCCUUCAGAGGGGGACAACAGUUGGAAACGACUGCUAAUACCGCAUACUGAAGGAGGGGAUUGCGUCUGAUUAGCUAGUUGGAUGGGUAACGGCCCACCAAGGCGAUGAUCAGUAGCCGGUCUGAGGGGAUGAACGGCCACAUGGGGGAUGAGGACAGGCCCAGAAUUCUAAGGGAGGCAGCAGUGGGGAAUCGUCCGAAAUGGACGAAAGUCUGACGGAGCAACGCCGGGUGAGUGAUGACGGCCUUCGGGUUGUAAAGCUCUGUUAAUCGGGACGCGGUACCGGAAUAGAAAGCCACGGCUAACUACGUGCCAGCCGCCGCGGUAAUAC
rnacentral:rRNA from 1 species